rnacentral:rRNA from 1 species
UACAGAGGGUGCGAGCGUUAAUCGGAAUUACUGGGCGUAAAGCGUGCGUAGACGGUUAUUUAAGUCGGGUGUGAAAGCCCCGGGCUCAACCUGGGAAUUGCAUUCGAGACUGAAUAGCUAGGGUACGGUAGAGGGAAGCGGAAUUUCCGGUGUAGCGGUGAAAUGCGUAGAUAUCGGAAGGAACAUCAGUGGCGAAAGCGGCUUCCUGGACCAGUACCGACGUUCAGGCACGAAAGCGUGGGGAGCAAAGCAGGA